rnacentral:rRNA from 1 species
AGUGAACGCUGGCGGUAGGCCUAACACAUGCAAGUCGAACGGCAGCACAGUAAGAGCUUGCUCUUACGGGUGGCGAGUGGCGGACGGGUGAGGAAUACAUCGGAAUCUACUUUUUCGUGGGGGAUAACGUAGGGAAACUUACGCUAAUACCUCAUACGACCUACGGGUGAAAGCAGGGGAUCUUCGGACCUUGCGCGAUUGAAUGAGCCGAUGUCGGAUUAGCUAGUUGGCGGGGUAAAGGCCCACCAAGGCGACGAUCCGUAGCUGGUCUGAGAGGAUGAUCAGCCACACUGGAACUGAGACACGGUCCAGACUCCUACGGGAGGCAGCAGUGGGGAAUAUUGGACAAUGGGCGCAAGCCUGAUCCAGCCAUACUGCGUGGGUGAAGAAGGCCUUCGGGUUGUAAAGCCCUUUUGUUGGGAAAGAAAAGCAGCAGGUUAAUACCCCGCUGUUCUGACGGUACCCAAAGAAUAAGCACCGGCUAACUUCGUG